UUAUCCGGAAUUAUUGGGCGUAAAGGGCUCGUAGGCGGUUCGUCGCGUCCGGUGUGAAAGUCCAUCGCUUAACGGUGGAUCCGCGCCGGGUACGGGCGGGCUUGAGUGCGGUAGGGGGGACUGGAAUUCCCGGUGUAACGGUGGAAUGUGUAGAUAUCGGGAAGAACACCAAUGGCGAAGGCAGGUCUCUGGGCCGUCACUGACGCUGAGGAGCGAAAGCGUGGGGAGCGAACAGGAUUAGAUACCCUGGUAGUCCACGCCGUAAACGGUGGAUGCUGGAUGUGGGGACCAUUCCACGGUCUCCGUGUCGGAGCCAACGCGUUAAGCAUCCCGCCUGGGGAGUACGGCCGCAAGGCUAAAACUCCAAGAAAUUGACGGGGGCCCGCACAAGCG
rnacentral:rRNA from 1 species